GGUGCUCAACAAUUGGAUGGAGCAUCUGGCUUCGGACCAGAAGGUCGUGGGUUCAAAUCCUACUGGGC
rnacentral:tRNA from 1 species